UACGUAGGGUGCAAGCGUUGUCCGGAAUUAUUGGGCGUAAAGAGCUUGUAGGCGGUUUGUCGCGUCUGCUGUGAAAUUCCAGGGCUCAACCCUGGACCUGCAUUCGAUACGGGCGGACUAGAGUUCGGUAGGGGAGACUGGAAUUCCUGGUGUAGCGGUGAAAUGCGCAGAUAUCAGGAGGAACACCGGUGGCGAAGGCGGGUCUCUGGGCAGUAACUGACGCUGAGGAGCGAAAGCGUGGGGAGCGAACAGG
rnacentral:rRNA from 1 species